rnacentral:rRNA from 1 species
AUGAGGAAGGGCGCGGAGCUCUUGGUCCUGCUGGUCGCGUCGUCCCUCUGCCUGUCCGCUGCGAUUGCCGCGCAGGAAACCUGCCCGGCCGACAUCGACGCCAAGUGCGGCGAUGCCGCUUCUGAUGACUGGGAGGGCGAGUUCUUCCCCGGCAUUACCAAGAUCAGAUAUGAGGGUCCUACCAGCAAGAAGCCGCUUUCUUACAAGUGGUAUAACGCGGAGGAAGUGAUCCUUGGAAAGAAAAUGAAAGAUUGGUUGCGGUUCAGCGUGGCGUUCUGGCAUACAUUCCGGGGUACUGGAGGAGACCCUUUUGGUGCAGCCACAAAGAACUGGCCUUGGGAGGAUGGCACCAAUUCCUUGGCCAUGGCUAAGAGAAGAAUGAAAGCUCACUUCGAGUUCAUGGAGAAGCUUGGAGUUGAGAGGUGGUGCUUCCAUGACAGGGACAUCGCCCCUGAUGGCAAGACACUCGCGGAAACAAAUGCUAACUUGGAUGAGAUAGUUCAGCUGGCAAAGCAACUCCAGAGUGAGACCAAUAUAAAGCCAUUGUGGGGGACUGCACAGCUUUUCAUGCAUCCACGUUACAUGCACGGAGCUGCUACUAGCCCAGAGGUCAAGGUGUAUGCUUAUGCUGCUGCUCAAGUGAAGAAAGCUUUGGAGGUUACUCACUACCUAGGCGGUGAGAACUAUGUAUUCUGGGGUGGAAGAGAGGGUUACCAAACUCUUCUCAAUACAGAUAUGAAGAGAGAACUUGAACAUUUGGCUAACUUUCUUCAAGCUGCUGUUAACCACAAGAAGAAGAUUGGCUUUAACGGAACAUUGUUGAUAGAGCCUAAACCACAAGAACCAACAAAGCAUCAGUAUGACUGGGAUGUUGCAACUACAUUCUCUUUCCUACAGAAGUUUGGUCUUACAGGAGAAUUCAAGAUAAAUGUCGAGUGCAACCAUGCUACUCUCUCUGGGCAUAGCUGCCAUCAUGAGCUUGAGACUGCACGCAUUAAUGAUAUUCUUGGAAACAUUGAUGCAAACACUGGUGAUCCACAAGUUGGUUGGGACACGGAUGAGUUCCUUACAGACAUUUCAGAAGCUACCUUGAUUAUGUCAAGUGUAGUUAAGAACGAUGGACUUGCACCUGGUGGCUUCAACUUCGACGCCAAAUUGCGGAGGGAGAGUACUGAUGUUGAGGACCUGUUUAUUGCCCAUAUCUCUGGGAUGGACACCAUGGCCCGUGGCCUCCGCAAUGUUGCCAAGCUGAUUGAGGAUGGUUCCCUGGACGAGCUUGUCCGCAAGCGCUACCAGAGCUUUGACACUGAGAUUGGCGCCAUGAUCGAGGCUGGAAAGGGAGACUUUGAAACGCUAGAAAAGAAGGUCUUGGAGUGGGGCGAGCCAACCGUUCCAUCCGGCAAACAGGAACUGGCUGAGAUGCUGUUCCAAUCCGCUCUGUAG